GCCAAAUCGUCCAUCAAGGUUGAAAUUUUCGGACUCCCGCCUCCUUUCAUCCCUUCUCUGAUCCCUGCCCUAUUUAUACCCUGCUCUAGCCCCCAAGCUCGUCAGUUCUUGGAUCACCAUCAGCUUCCUCCAAUCCAUGACCUCAGCAGGCCUCGACCUGAACCAAGAUCCACCACCUGAUGAAUCAGAUGUAAACCUAGAGCCCGCCUCCUUGCAUCCGUCCUCUGAUCCCGGCGUCAUCAAUUGGGAUGGCAUUCAGGAGUGGGAUGGCCCUGCCCAUGAGCUCGACUACGACUUUGUGUGGCAUGGCAAUGGAGAUGACGAUGGAGAUGAACACGGUGAUCCUGCGAAUCGAUCGCAUUGAAGCUAAGCGGCAGCCGCGUUGGCCACGGGUCAAGGAACGUUCUCCAAACCAGUAGAUGCGUAUCAUACUUGAACAUUUUUCAAAUGCUUAAACGUACAAGAAAACUGGACGGAGGGAGUACAUUCUGUUGUGAGAGAAGAAAAAAAGGAUCUCCCAACCUGUUCUAUACAACUGCUAUGAAUCCGAAACCCAAUAAUGUUCUUGUGUCCCGAGGAAUUGAACCUUUUCAGCCCAAACUAACAGGGCAUGCCGCAUGCAUAUCCGACGUAGCUAGCGUCGUCUCAUUCCAGAUUAUAAUGCACUGUACUUGCACAAUUUUUUCGACACCAGUAUGGUUGUUUCUCAUUAGGCAAGUGGCAAGAGCAAGGCAUCUAUCCAUGCUCUGUUGUAGCAGUAUCUGUUUAAUUAGCAUGUAUGUAGAUGUAGCGAAUGGUUUC